rnacentral:sRNA from 1 species
AACAGGUGAAGCUUGUGAAGUGGCAGUGCAGGCUUCCUCUCAUUGUCCUGCCAAUGUGCUUAAACC